ensembl:snoRNA SNORD31 Small nucleolar RNA SNORD31
UUGCAUCGUGAUGAUUUCCUGUUACCGCCCCAGUCUGAGAAUAUAUGACUGAUUGGUAUUUUUCUGAUUUCUG